AGCCACAAGUCCGUGUGACUCAUAGCCAGCAGGCCCCGGUGACUCAGGCAGAACUGCACAAGGUCACCGAGGGGGCCCAGACUGACCAUCUGCAAGCUGUGUUCUAGUCCCCCACUAAUGACUACAGUGGCCACCGUCAUGUCCUGAUACUGCCAGCCUGUUUCCCACCGUGAAGGAGAGGUGAGGACCCUGCCCAUGUGUCCCUCAGGGAGGCGGUGGGAAUCCCCUCAGACAUUGGAUCUGAAGGCAUUUUAUCAACCAAAAGCUCUGAGCAAGUGUGACAGAAGCAGAGUGGAUAGUGAGUCUGUGAGGGACAUGACCCCUGUUUGAGCCACCAGCGGUAACCAGGAUGCCCCGUAGCACAACGCCCUCCCCAGACUUCCCACAGCUGCUCCUGGAACGAAGGGAAGAAGCCGUCCAUUAACUCCCCAGGGAGCACAGCCAAAGAACCAGAACAGUUUCUGCUGACCACGCCAGUCCAAGCUCUAUGGACAGGGGACACAGAGCCUGCUGUACAUCCCUGGCACCCUGCAGACCAGGAUGGCAAUGCCAUCUCUAGGUGGCGCGGGGCAGAGCCUAGUUGUGAGCCACCUGCAGCCCAUCAAGAGCAAGCCCUGGCCAGAAUGAAUGGACCCUGAAGCUGCCCGGGGUGGAUCCUGAGCAGUAAGAAUGCAAGUGUGUUUGAGAAGAGAAUCCUGGACCAUGUGAGAGCCCAGGAAGGGGCCCCUCGACUGCCUGCACGAAAUCCCCCAAGUCCUCCCUCCCGUCCAGCAGCCCUCGCCUGCUCCUGUGUAGGGCAGUAGGGAGCCAAGUCUUUAAGUGUCAAGCGAUGUGUGGGCAGUGUUGGAAUCUCAGGCUGCCUGCCACGCCCUCAUUGCCCUGCUCUGAGCCCACAUCUUGCACGUGGCUGCAGCAAGCUCAGUCUGCAAGCCAGCUCUUCCUCACUGUCCCCGUCGCUCUGGCCCCUGGGAUUACCAACAGGUGACAACCUUUCCUCUGUACCUCAUCGGGACACCUCCAGACCACUUGGUCAGUAGCAGCAGGUGGCCAUUCAGGACAUGUUCAUCAAAUGAACUGGAUAGAACCGGGGCCCGCUGUCCCAUAGGGUCAUGGAGGGUUGAAGAACCUCAGCCCAAAGCCUAGAGUCUUUGCCUACCUUCCUGGGCCUCACUCCAGCUCCACUGCAGAGCCCAGCCUGUGACCACAGCGACCCGCGAAGGACUCAGGGUUCAGAUGCCAGGUUUGUUAUCAAAGAGAAAGGGCUUGGCUCCACAGCAGGGCCGGCUGUUUUCUCAGUGAAUGGCAAUUCCAGGAAAGUUGGCUCUGCUUGGGAAGACCCAAGACCCAACCUCAGACUAUUCCUGGUACAGAAUGUGACUUUAGUAGGUACAGGAGAAAGGGAGGGAGAACGUGGUGGUGUCACCUCUGAGCCCCUCUGUGGGCCUCAUCUUCCCCAUAUGCAAAGUGGGGGUGAUAGCCAUGCCCCUCCCUAACACAGGUCAAGGGAGAGGGGGGAGCUGGAGGGAGGGCGGAGGAAGGGAAAGGGAGGAGGUUCACUGAAGGUCCUUUGUCAUCUGAAGUGUCAUUUGAGCAGCUGGAAUGGGGCCACCCUCAUGGGUUCUGGGUUUCAGGCUCAUUCCCAGGGGCUAUCAGAGCUGAGCUGUGGCCCAGGUCCCAGCAGGGACAGCUCUCAGGCACUGGGCCAAGGCCAGGAUUGCAUGGUGGACAGAGCACAUAUUGGGACCUGGCCCAGUGCACGCCACACCCCCUGCCCUGCCCAUUUCCUUGUUUCCUCGUUCACUCCUGUCAACCACUGACCUCAGGUGCCUCUUCAUGCCUGCCAGCCUCAGGCACACCUGGCUUUUCAACCGCCAGGUGUCCUGCCCACGGCACAGUGGGGGCUGUGCAAGAAGGAAGGGCCCCUGACUCCCACUGGCCUUCUCCAGGGACCUUCCACCACCACUGAUGACCACCCUGCUCCAGAAGUGUGUGGCCACCACCCGAGGCUCUACAGCAGUGAACCCGUAUCUGUGGGAAAGUCUCGUGCUCCAGCCACAGGCUGCUCCAGGUUGGCGGGCUCCUUGGUACUCUCUGCCCCUCAACACACUCGGGGUACCUCUUCAUCUUUCACUUGCAGAGCUCACUGCAUGCCGACAGACCCCAGCCCCCCAAGGCUCCAGCCUCCCAACUCCUAGGGCUUGCUCCCACAGUGCCCCUCCCACUGCCUGCCCCCCUCCUCCUGAGCAGGAGUCUGGUAUCUUUGGAAUCGUGGCCUUUGCCCUCUCCUCCCAGGGAGUGUGCGGCUGAUUCAUCACACCCACUGAGGGCGAUGGUGGGCACGGACAAGGGCUGGGAGCAUUGGUGACAGAGGGCUGGGAACUUGUGAAAGAGAGACUGGCUGCUGUUUGACCCAGCACAGGAAGAUGUCUGAACCACAGUGCCUUGUGCUGUCCACCCAGGAAGGUGGUGCCAGCCUCCUAGAGCCUGCCCUGGGACAUGAGCACCACACCACGCUGGACUCUGGCUAGACACCCGGGAAAGCCUUGACCAUGCCCUGUGAGGUGCCCCACAGCCCCUCUGCUUUCAUCUAGGGGCUCCCUUGAGUCACAGGCAUUGGGUCACCCACAGUACACCAAGAAAUGGCAGAUGCAGACAGAGCUGGCCAGGGGUCAGGCAGCUCCCACUCCAUGUGACCCAGGCAGGCCGCAGCCCUGCUCUGGGCCGCCCUAUUCUGUCUGUACGAUGGGUGGCAGCCACCAGCCUGCACACCGCACAUGAAUUCUACAGAUCAAAUGAGGCAAUAAAUAGGAACCUGCUGUUGGUGCCAGCAUCGGGGGCUAGUCCUGGAUUAGUGUGAAGUUGGGUGAGUCCGCGCCUGCCUCUGCUGACUCCUCCUCCAAGUCUCCCCCAGCACAGAGUGGGUCCUCCACAAGGCCCGGUCCCACAGGGCUGCAACCUGCAACAGGUGAGUUUCCCUCCAGUGACAACCUGCAGCUCCUGGAGGGAACUCCUGCCCUGGUGUCAGCUGAUCCCGCAGCCCCCCUGGAGGCCACGGCCAAGAGGAGGUGGCAGCCUGGCGGAGGAGGAUCUUUCCUAAGUACCUUCCUGUGGCUCUGAAUUGACCCCGUGAAGCUCGGCCAUCCUCGCUGCAGCCUGUUUCCUUAUCGGGAGAGGAAGAGAGUGAAUGAAAGGGUCGAUUUCUUUCUUUUUUUUCUGCAAAAGCUUAGGCCUGAGACAAAGGAAGCUCUGUGCACCUCGAGACUUGGCCCUUCCUACAUGACGCUCCCAGGGAAGUCGCAAGAUUAAAAAUUAAUAACAGAAACAGCAGACAUCACCCAGUGACUGGAGGCUGAGGAGGAGUCCAAUGAGCCCAGAGUCAGAGCAGGUGGGCACCUUAGAUUCAUCCUCCUGCACCCCCACUUUGCAGAUGGGCAGGCUGAGGUCUAGAAACCAAGGCUACAUAUAAGGCAAGCAGCCUUAGGUCCCCGACUCCCAGGCAGAGUUAUUCCUGUUAGGCCUCGACAUGUUGUUGUUUUGUCUGUGAUGCUGCGCCUGGAACCCCGGGGCCUCUUGCAUGCUACGCAUGUUCUGUGCUGUACCCAGGCCCACCCUUCCACUCUUGACAGUGAGCAGACCCAUGAGGAGGAGGGACACAGGACAGAGACGGAGGAAAAGGCAUGGCAGAGAGGGCAGCUGUCUCGGGGAGAGGGCAGGUGAAGGUACAAAGGAAGGAGGCCUCUCUUGGCUCCCCCUCUUACCCCUGGCUCCGGGGCGGGGGGGGGGGGGUUGCAGGAACUUUGCAGAGUCAGAGGGUCAGUUCCAAGACAGGUCAGUCCUCUUCCAGAUCCUUCAAUAGUUGCCUAUGGGAGGAGCAGAGCAGCCUGGGCCCUGACCACAGAGAGCCAGGUCAUGUGAGGGGCCUCCAAGAAGCACAUUCCAGGCCCUACUGUCAGCAGGUCAGACCCUGAGAGACCAUGUGGCCCCCUCCACCCUCACGUUUGCUUUCAAGGGAAAGGGGACUGAGCGUGGGGAAGGAAGCGGGCAAGCUCAUCUGACUAGCCGGCAGAGCACAACCUGGACCACAGAGGUCCCUCAGCUCCCAGCCAGGGCUCUUCCCUUACUGCAUCCGUCUCCCUGUGCCAGAGGCCAAAGUUUGGAAUGGACAGAGGCACAGGCUGGCUCCCAGCGGCAGCAGUAGCAGGACCUUCCCAGCUCCACCAGGCUGUAUCCAGGCACUGACCUCUCAGCUGCCCUCUGGGGGGUGGGGGUCAUGAGCAAGCAAAUGCCCAGGCCUGGGCCUUGGUGCAGAGCAGGUUCAGGGCGUUGUCCUUGGGUGGGACACAGCAAGGCAAGCCUCUUAAUGUGCCUGGCUCUGCCAUCUGAGGACCCCCUGUGUCCAGAUCACCUGGGGAGCACAUGAAACAUGCAGGUUCUUGUCCCAGCCCUGCCCCCAACCCAGUGAAAAAGCAUAUGUCCCCACGGAGGGGGGCAUCCUCACAACUGCACCCACCAGGGAAAGAAGAUUGCACGAAGAACUUUCCAUGUCCCAGGAUGUCAGCAGAGAGGCCAUGGCCCAUUCGCAGGCUCUGCUCUGAGCAGCUGCUAAUUGGCACCACUGUUCUACUUCAGCUUAAGCCUGAAUGAGGUCACCCUCCUGGUGCCACCCCACAUGAGUCCAAUAAAGAAAGAGCUCCAUGGCCCAGGGCCAGCCAGCCUGGCUCCAACCCUGGGAAGGCCCCGAGCCUGGAAUCAGGACAACUAGGGUGACCAAGAGCCUGGAACAGAAAGACUCCCUGAACGUGAAACUUGAAGCACUGAAAGCAGGAGGAGCUGGUCGCCCGAGACAGUCUGGGACACCUGGGUGUUCCUCCUCUGGGGGGGGGCUCCUGGAAGUCAUGGAAGCCCACCCCGCAGAGCCCCCAAACACUCAGAGCCAGAGCUGGGAGUCCCUGGAGUCGGGCAGGGACCUGCCCCUCAGCAUCAUCCAUUGUUUGCGUGUGUCAGACCUCUGUUCCUCUUGGUGGCCGGUGGGCGGCAGGCCGCAUCUUGUUUAUCCACUCAUCUGUUGAUGGACACUCGACGGGUUCUGCCUUUGCCUCCUGUGACUGGUGCCACUCUGAACAGUUCACAAGUUGGAGAGUCCCUGCUCGCACUCGAUCACCUGCUCACGUGGUCUAUGUUCAGCUACUGAGGAGCCGCCCUGCUGCCCACAGUAGCUGCACGUUUUCCUUCCUUCCAGCAAAGCUCCACGGCUCCCGUCCUCCACAUUCCUGCCAACACCUGUCACUUUCCAACUCUG